rnacentral:rRNA from 1 species
GAUGAACGCUGGCGGCGCGCCUAACACAUGCAAGUCGAACGAUUAAAGCACCUUCGGGUAUGUAUAAAGUGGCGAACGGCUGAGUAACACGUGGGCAACCUGCCCCUUUCAUUGGGAUAGCCACGGGAAACCGUGGAUAAUACCGAAUACUUCGAGACUUCCGCAUGGAAGACUCGAGAAAGCUCCGGCGGAGAGGGAUGGGCCCGCGGCCUGUUAGCUUGUUGGUGGGGUAACGGCCUACCAAGGCAAUGAUGGGUAGCUGGGUUGAGAGACCGACCAGCCAGAUUGGGACUGAGACACGGCCCAGACUCCUACGGGAGGCAGCAGUGGGGAAUCUUGCACAAUGGGCGAAAGCCUGAUGCAGCGACGCCGCGUGCGGGAUGAAGGCCUUCGGGUUGUAAACCGCUUUCAGCAGGGACGAGGCGAAAGUGACGGUACCUGCAGAAGAAGCCCCGGCUAACUACGUG